rnacentral:misc_RNA from 1 species
GGAAAACAGACCAUUUCAGUCGGACCAUGGGGAGGUGAAAAUGGAUUGCACUGGGAUGAUGGAGUUUAUUCCACCAUAAGGAAACUGGAAAUAGCUCACGGAACAGGAGUUGAUUCGAUUAAGGUUGAGUACGACAAAAAUGGAACCUCAGUAAUCUCCGAGAAGCAUGGUGGUGGUGGAGGUGCUAAAACAGACAAGAUAAUACUUAGCUAUCCAGAUGAGUUUCUAAUUUCUAUGAACGGAUAUUAUGGUAGCUUGUACGAAAGGGGGUCAGUUUUUGUUCGAUCACUUACAUUUGAAAGCAACAAAAGGACGUAUGGACCAUAUGGUGUCGAGCAAGGAACAUAUUUCACUCUACCAAUCUCUAGGGGAAAAAUUGUUGGCUUUCAUGGAAAAUGUGGCUGGUAUCUUGAUGCUAU